AUUGAACGCUGGCGGCAGGCUUAACACAUGCAAGUCGAGCGGGGUGAUGGUGCUUGCACUAUCACUUAGCGGCGGACGGGUGAGUAAUGCUUAGGAAUCUGCCUAUUAGUGGGGGACAACAUCUCGAAAGGGAUGCUAAUACCGCAUACGUCCUACGGGAGAAAGCAGGGGAUCACUUUUGACCUUGCGCUCAUAGAUGAGCCCAAGUAGGAUUAGCUAGUUGGUGGGGUAAAGGCCUACCACGGAGACGAUCUGUAGCGGGUCUGAGAGGAUGAUCCGCCACACUGGAACUGAGACACAGCCCAGACGCCUACGGAAAGCAGCAUUGGGGAAUAUUGGACAAUGGGGGGAACCCUGAUCCAGCCAUGCCGCGUGUGUGAAGAAGGCCUUAUGGUUGUAAAGCACUUUAAGCGAGGAGGAGGCUCUUUUGGUUAAUACCCAAGAUGAGUGGACGUUAUUCGCAGAAUAAGCACCGGCUAACUCUGUGCCAGCAGCCGCCGUAA
rnacentral:rRNA from 1 species